GGAGGGCACCGUGGGCACGCUGCCAAUCCAGUCCCGUUGGCCAGCAACGCGGCCAACAAGCCCGCAGUAAUAACAGCCCCCACCCCAGUGAAACGAUGAUCAGGGAGGGGCGCGUACAUAUACACACUUACGGAACUGAAUAUUAAAGGGCGGCGGGUGGGGGGGGGGACAGAAAAUAAACAACAUCAUCUUUCAGGAGGGUCAGUUUGAGUCUGAAAACGCCCUUUAUUUCCCAAGGACUUUGUUGCAUUCUGAAGAAGCUUCUGGGGUCGGGCCAGUGAUAAAAGUUUUUCUUUAAUCCGUCAAAGCCAAGUUUUGAAAGUGAAGGAGGAGAAACUUGUAAAAGCAUUGCUAACUCCUUCAAAAUCGAUCAUCAUGACGGGAGCCCAAAUCUGAUUGCCAAAUCUUGGCAACGAAAAUGCAUCCCCAUCAGCAUCGCAGUCUUUAAUGAAGCUGACUCCAGCAGAUUCAAUGGAGGUCUGUUGGCAACACAUUGAGACCAAAAACUGUUGAAGGUAACAGCUUGACACCGUCCAAGUCAGGGCAGCCCACUUGAUUGGGACCACAUCCAACUCCUUUGACCAUUUCUGUGAAGAGACACUUUCUGAGAGCACCUCUGAAUGGCUGAGCUGGGAUUUUAAGCUGUUGACGUUGAUGGGUGACAGACCAGAAAGCUACCUUUUCAUCAGCCUUUCAGAGGCGCUGUACCUCAUACUGCAGAACUGACACGUGAGAUGAUUUAUUCAAGCCCAGAGACUAUGAACCAAUUCUAAUGCAGAAGUACUGUGUCAAACAUAUUGAUGGAUUUCGACUUUUGUGUUCAAUGUCGAUGACAACGGUCACAGGACAUUGUCACCAUAUCCCCUACCUUCAGUGAUCGGGGAGCCCAACAGACCAGUGCAAAAGUGCAUUUGCAACCAUCUUCAGUCAGAAGUGCCAAGUGGAUGAUCUAUUUCAGCCUUCCUCCUCCUUCAGUGGUCCCCAGCAUCAUAGAUGCCAGUUCUCAGCCAAUUCAAUUCAUUCCAUGUGAUAUCAAGAAAUGGCUAAAGGCACUGGGCCCUGUCAGUUUUAAAAGACAGGACCAAAGACUUCUGCUCCAGAACUUGCCGCUCCCCUAGCCAAGCUCUUCCAGUGCAGCUACAACACUGGUAUCUGUCUGACAAUGUGGAAAAUUGCCCAAAUAUGUCCUGUACACAAAAAGCAGGACAAAUUGUGACGAUGCUGUGGCUUUAAGAGAUGGGUUUUGUCCUGGUUUCUUUCACAGAGAGAUUGGGGGGCAGUUGCCCAGCAAUCUUUGACAAGAUAAGCAACUUGCGAGGCCUUGGGUGUUUUUCUUCAAGUUAGCAGUCACACGAUACCAGGUUAUAUUUGAAAUCACAAGCUUUCCGAGGGCUGCUUGUUCAUCACCUUAUGAAGGAGCAGUGCUCCAAAAGCUUGUGGUUUCAAAUAAACCUGUUGGACUGUAGCCUGGUGUCAUGUGACUUCUAACUUUGUCCACCCCAGUCGAAUACCGGCACCUCCAUUUUUGUUUAAAGCUGGAACAGUAGAAACAGCCUGAUUGGGUGUGGUCAAGCUCUCACAGAAUCAGGGGCUUUAGUAUGGCUUUAAGCAGUUGCUUCUGUGAGCUUGAAGAAGUGGAAGCUAUUUUUCCAUCACUCAAUUACAGCCAAAUACUGGGGGUUCCCUUUGCAGGCUGCUGAUUGCAUGUGAGACAAAAUAUGCCAGGGGUGUGUUUAUGAGAUGUUACCAUAUUGGAACAGUUAAUCAGUGAUUGUAACUGUAUCAAUCAUUCUGUUAAGUUUUCCAAUAGAGUUAAGUUAUACAGAGUUUUUGUCCCUUUUGUUGUGU